AAAUGAGCUGUCCAGGGCCUUGCAGGGGGUUGAGCAGGAUGGUGCUGUGCUGGGGGAGAAGUGCAGAGCCUGCUUGGUGCUGUUUGAGGAGGAGAGCUGGGAGCCUUGUGGUUUGAAGGCACAGCAGUCCUCAGUGAAUGUUGAUACCUGCCCAGAAACUGAAGCAUCCCUUUCUUGCCGGUACCUUGGUGCUCCCUGGCUAGAGGCAGCAGCAGGACAGGCGGGGAGCAGCAGGCAGCAGCCCCAGGGAGAGUGAUGAGACGGCAACUUCUUCCCCAGGGAUGUGUCGGGGAAAGGGGCUGGCACCGCAGCUACAUCCAGAAGAAUAAAAUGAAGGAAAUAAAUAAAGGAGGCACAGCGCGUCCUACAAACAAGAACAUGUGUCUGCAUUUAUUAACAUUUCCAACGCGGAUUUAAUUCUCAGCAAAGUGCUCCUGCCUACACGAAGCCCAGGCGUGUUGCAGGAAACCUCUCGUUAAGUUCCAUACAAGCCAUCUUUUUAGUGCAUCCUCCAGGGGAAUCUUCAAACAGAUUCUAUAAUUUCACUGAUAAAUGGCUCUUUUGCAAAACA